GUCAGGAUGAACGCUGGCGGCGUUGCCUAACACAUGCAAGUCGAGCGGUAUAUAUUGGAAUGAAACUUCGGUCGAGUGAAGAUAUAGGAGAGCGGCGGACGGGUGAGUAACGCGUAGGCAACCUGCCCCAUACAGAGGGAUAGCCUCGGGAAACCGGGAUUAAAACCUCAUAAUGCGAGAGGUUCACAUGGACUUUUCGCCAAAGAUUUAUCGGUAUGGGAUGGGCCUGCGUCUGAUUAGCUAGUUGUGGGGUAACGGCCUACCAAGGCAACGAUCAGUAGCCGACCUGAGAGGGUAAUCGGCCACAUUGGAACUGAGGACACGGUCCAAACUCCUACGGGAGGCAGCAGUGGGGAAUAUUGCACAAUGGGCGAAAGCCUGAUGCAGCAACGCCGCGUGAGCGAUGAAGGCCUUUGGGUCGUAAAGCUCUGUCCUUGGGGAAGAAAAAAUGACGGUACCCUUGGAGGAAGCCCCGGCUAACUACGUGCCAGCCGCCGC
rnacentral:rRNA from 1 species